rnacentral:lncRNA from 1 species
CUCCAUGUAAUCUAGUACGCAAUAUGUUGGUCAAAUAUAAAUUCCUCAAAUUUAUGGAUGAAGACAUUCAAAUGGGAACUACAGUAUAUAUAAUGUACCUUGAAAAUUGGUUUGUUGAACAGGAGGCUCAAAUAUUCCAUAUGGAUCAGCUGUCUGGUCGUUGCCCACUAUGCAAAAUUUUAAGAUCAGUACAACAUAACAAUAUAGGUGUUCUAGUAGAUGUAGGGUCGGCAGAACUACCUUGCAGAUUUUGAGUGUUUUGAGCAGUCUCUGUUGUCGAUUCUACUCCUCGCCUAUCAUUAGCCAUGGACUUUUGAGGUUGAUUGGAGGCAUUAAGAGGCUCUAUACAUUAAAAAUGAAAGAGAACCCAGAUUACGGUAAACACGCUUGCACUAUAAGUAAUAUUGAGGUUGAUUAUAGUAAUAUUGUUCCUUACACUGUACAAAUGCCUAAUGAUAUACCUGGUGCAAUAUCUGCAGUGACAUUGGAAAUUGUUUGCGUUUCAUGACCAAGAGGUACAACAAUAGCUCUCAGUCUCCCUGCAAUUUCUACCAUCUGAUAUGCAUCAUUCCUAUGCAACCAAUUGGAUUCAUCAAUGUUUCCUAAUUUAUUGUCCUCGUCAGGAGGGAUGCCUUCAUGUGAUUGGUAUGAAGUUGGCAUGUUUGAUAAGCCUGCAAGAAAUUUGGUGUCACCAUAUCAGUGCAUAUAAUUAUAUACUCCCUCCAUCCUAAAAUAAAUGUCUCAACUUUAUACUAACUUUAGUGCAAAGUUUACUUACGUUGAGACACUUAUGUUGGGACGGAGGGAGUAUCUCUUAAUAAUAUGCGAGAUAAUAAAAGGCAAUGACUAUUUUAUGGUAGCACACAACCUGCAAAUGAUAUUGUUUGUAGCUGGCUGACACUCGAUUGUCCUGUAGCUGGUGUGUGUGACACAUUGUCAACAUUGUUAACGGUGGCAAUAGAUGUCUUUGCCUGUUCACGGGAUUGGCGUUUUCUUCUUAAUAUUUCAUCCCUGUUCUGUGCAUACCGCUCCCUGUCCCUUUGCCUCCUUAACUCUUUAAGGUCUACAUAGAUGCAAAAAGCUAAUUAGUUUCAACAUUUAGGGGUGUAUGUAAUGCGUUGAUCGUCAUUACCAAUGGAUGUGGACAUCGGUGUUUGUGUUUCAUCUUUUUGGGCACCGGUCCCUGCAGAAGCCUGAGACAAUUUUUUCUAACUGUAGGCUUGACGUUGUCUUUUUAAUAUGUCAUCCCUAUUUUAUGAAUACCGUUCCCGUUCUAGUUGCCUCUUUUGCUCCAUAGGAUCUACAUCUAUGAUACAUUAUAGUUAUAAUUCAGAGUCUCAAAAUGUUACCUGAACAACGGAACAUAAGCCAACAGUACAAGGUUAUUUAUACUUUGGGUCAUGGCCAGGGGUGUAUGUGGCACACUUUGCUGGUCAUUAGGCAGCGCUUUUGGAGUUCCGUUAUUUUGGCGUGCAUCACGACGCCGUUUGAGAAUGGCAUCUUUAUUUCGUGCAUAGUAUUCUUUGUCCCGCUGCCUCUUCAAUUCCUUAGGGUCUGUAUAAAUACAAACAAAAAAGUUAGCGCAUAAGCAAUAACAGUGUUCAUCAUUCAAGAAAAACUGUAGCAUUUAGUAGGCUGUUAAUUACCCACGGAGUGGGAGUUGGUUAUAUCCUGAAAGGGGGUGCGUGCCCCCGCGCGAUUGGGAGAUGACAUACUGCCGCGUAUUAGUAGAAUCUGCCAAGAGGGUUGAAUUAAAGCAUAUUAGUGGCAAAUAGCAUUCAAGUACACACAGUAUUAUUAUGAAUAAACAUGCUUGUUAUGUUUAUGCAGGAUACAGGCUCAAGAUUUUUGUUUUUUUAAUGUGAAGCAGGAUGGUGCGGUUAGUAGAUUGACUGUAUCAUAAAUUCUGCUGACCUUAGGCCUUCAGGGACUUGCCGAUAGCGAGUAGGCGACGACGGAGGAACGGCUGCCCACGGUGCGGUGCAGGGCGGCGAGGGCGUCGUUCCGGAAGCAGACGAUGUUGCCCCAGGGCGAGGGGAUCUGUCGGGUGGUGAGGUCGGGGCGACGGUGCUACGAUGCAGCGAUGGGAUAAUUGUUUUGUUUCCUUCUUGAUGAUGAUGAUGCGUGAUUUUAGGUGUUCCCUCCCUGGUAUGCUGCAGCGAUGGGAAGUUAUUUGUUUCCCUGCGUGUGAUGAUUGAUGAUUGGGAGGGACGUGGAGGUGAUUUCCUCUGCGGUGGAACGGUCCGUCCGUGUGUAAAUUAUUAAGUGCACCCCAAUCAACACAUGAGGUUAAGGUUGACCAUUAAAUUGAUUUUAGUGGGCCUAAUCGUAGGGUGGUAAUAGGUCUGUGUACGUUUAAUGGGGUGCGUGAAGAGAAGUUGAUGUUUGCUCUUUUAUUAGUAGUAGAGAUACACACAGUAUUAUUAGUAGUAGAGAUACACACAUGAGGUUAAGGUUGACCAUUAAAUUGAUUUUAGUGGGCCUAAUUGUAGGGUGGUAAUAGGUCUGUGUACGUUUAAUGGGAUGCGUGAAGAGAAGUUGAUGUUUGCUCUUUUAUUAGUAGUAGAGAUGUGUUGAAAAACUGUCACAAAACCUGGGCCGGCCCAUGAAGGAUACAAUAUAAUAUAAUGCAACUAAAAAAAGUAAUACAGCCAACGACCCUUGCAGGGGAUCGAACACAAGACGUCAUGCAAGAAACCACCCGAAAGUACCAGCUGAGCUAGCGCCAGUUAUCUACCACCAUGAGCCGAAUUUUCUUAUGUUAAUCGACUUCAC